rnacentral:rRNA from 1 species
GACGAACGCUGGCGGCGCGCCUAACACAUGCAAGUCGAACGAGCGAGAGAGAGCUUGCUUUCUCGAGCGAGUGGCGAACGGGUGAGUAACGCGUGAGGAACCUGCCUCAAAGAGGGGGACAACAGUUGGAAACGACUGCUAAUACCGCAUAAGCCCACGGGUCGGCAUCGACCAGAGGGAAAAGGAGCAAUCCGCUUUGAGAUGGCCUCGCGUCCGAUUAGCUAGUUGGUGAGGUAACGGCCCACCAAGGCGACGAUCGGUAGCCGGACUGAGAGGUUGAACGGCCACAUUGGGACUGAGACACGGCCCAGACUCCUACGGGAGGCAGCAGUGGGGAAUAUUGCACAAUGGGGGAAACCCUAAUGCAGCGACGCCGCGUGGAGGAAGAAGGUCUUCGGAUUGUAAACUCCUGUUGUUGAGGAAGAUAAUGACGGUACUCAACAAGGAAGUGACGGCUAACUACGUGCCAGCAGCCGCGGUAAAACGUAGGUCACAAGCGUUGUCCGGAAUUACUGGGUGUAAAGGGAGCGCAGGCGGGAAGACAAGUUGGAAGUGAAAUCCAUGGGCUCAACCCAUGAACUGCUUUCAAAACUGUUUUUCUUGAGUAGUGCAGAGGUAGGCGGAAUUCCCGGUGUAGCGGUGGAAUGCGUAGAUAUCGGGAGGAACACCAGUGGCGAAGGCGGCCUACUGGGCACCAACUGACGCUGAGGCUCGAAAGUGUGGGUAGCAAACAGGAUUAGAUACCCUGGUAGUCCACACCGUAAACGAUGAUUACUAGGUGUUGGAGGAUUGACCCCUUCAGUGCCGCAGUUAACACAAUAAGUAAUCCACCUGGGGAGUACGACCGCAAGGUUGAAACUCAAAGGAAUUGACGGGGGCCCGCACAAGCAGUGGAGUAUGUGGUUUAAUUCGACGCAACGCGAAGAACCUUACCAAGUCUUGACAUCCCUUGACGAUGCUGGAAACAGUAUUUCUCUUCGGAGCAAGGAGACAGGUGGUGCAUGGUUGUCGUCAGCUCGUGUCGUGAGAUGUUGGGUUAAGUCCCGCAACGAGCGCAACCCUUAUGGUCAGUUACCACGCAAGAGGACUCUGGCCAGACUGCCGUUGACAAAACGGAGGAAGGUGGGGAUGACGUCAAAUCAUCAUGCCCUUUAUGACUUGGGCUACACACGUACUACAAUGGCGUUAAACAAAGAGAAGCAAGACCGCGAGGUGGAGCAAAACUCAGAAACAACGUCCCAGUUCGGACUGCAGGCUGCAACUCGCCUGCACGAAGUCGGAAUUGCUAGUAAUCGUGGAUCAGCAUGCCACGGUGAAUACGUUCCCGGGCCUU